rnacentral:rRNA from 1 species
UCAGGACGAACGCUGGCGGCGUGCUUCAUACAUGCAAGUCGAACGAGAAGUUACCUUCGGGUAAUAGACAGUGGCGGGCGGGUGAGUAAAAUGUAGAGAAUCUGCCCUAGAGUGGGGGACAACAGUUGGAAACGACUGCUAAUACCGCAUAUGCGCGUAGCUGAGAUGCUAUUCGUGAAAACUCCGGUGCUCUGGGAUGAGUCUGCAUCUGAUUAGCUAGUUGGGGGUGUAAUGGACCACCAAGGCGACGAUCAGUAGCUGGUUUGAGAGGAUGAUCAGCCACAAUGGGACUGAGACACGGCCCAUACUCCUACGGGAGGCAGCAGUAGGGAAUUUUGCGCAAUGGGGGGAACCCUGACGCCAGCAACGCCGCGUGAUUGAAUAAGCCCUUCGGGGUGUAAAGAUCUGUCAGUGGGGACGAAACUUGACGGUACCCACAGAGGAAGCAUCGGCUAACUCCGUGCCAGCCGCCGC